rnacentral:rRNA from 1 species
GAUGAACGCUAGCGGCAGGCCUAACACAUGCAAGUCGAGGGAGAGGUUACCUUCGGGUAACCAAAACCGGCGCACGGGUGCGUAACGCGUAUACAAUCUGCCUUUCACAUAGGGAUAGCCCGAAGAAAUUUGGAUUAAUACCUAAUGGUAUAUAAGAGCGGCAUCGUUUUUAUAUUAAGGCUACGGUGGUGAAAGAUGAGUAUGCGUUCUAUUAGCUAGUUGGAGAGGUAACGGCUCCCCAAGGCGACGAUAGAUAGGGGUUCUGAGAGGGAUGUCCCCCACACUGGUACUGAGAUACGGACCAGACUCCUACGGGAGGCAGCAGUGAGGAAUAUUGGACAAUGGUCGGAAGACUGAUCCAGCCAUGCCGCGUGCAGGAUGAAGGUACUAUGGAUUGUAAACUGCUUUUGUAAGGGAAGAAUAAGGAGUACGUGUACUUUGAUGACGGUACCUUACGAAUAAGCAUCGGCUAACUCCGUG